UACGUAGGGUGCAAGCGUUAUCCGGAAUUAUUGGGCGUAAAGAGCUCGUAGGCGGUUUGUCGCGUCUGCUGUGAAAACUGGAGGCUCAACCUCCAGCCUGCAGUGGGUACGGGCAGACUAGAGUGCGGUAGGGGAGAUUGGAAUUCCUGGUGUAGCGGUGGAAUGCGCAGAUAUCAGGGGGAACACCGAUGGCGAAGGCAGAUCUCUGGGCCGUAACUGACGCUGAGGAGCGAAAGCAUGGGGAGCGAACAGG
rnacentral:rRNA from 1 species